AUUGAACGCUGGCGGCAGGCCUAACACAUGCAAGUCUAGCGGAUGAAGGGAGCUUGCUCCUGGAUUCAGCGGCGGACGGGUGAGUAAUGCCUAGGAAUCUGCCUGGUAGUGGGGGAUAACGUCCGGAAACGGGCGCUAAUACCGCAUACGUCCUGAGGGAGAAAGUGGGGGAUCUUCGGACCUCACGCUAUCAGAUGAGCCUAGGUCGGAUUAGCUAGUUGGUGGGGUAAAGGCCUACCAAGGCGACGAUCCGUAACUGGUCUGAGAGGAUGAUCAGUCACACUGGAACUGAGACACGGUCCAGACUCCUACGGGAGGCAGCAGUGGGGAAUAUUGGACAAUGGGCGAAAGCCUGAUCCAGCCAUGCCGCGUGUGUGAAGAAGGUCUUCGGAUUGUAAAGCACUUUAAGUUGGGAGGAAGGGCAGUAAGUUAAUACCUUGCUGUUUUGACGUUACCAACAGAAUAAGCACCGGCUAACUUCGUG
rnacentral:rRNA from 1 species